rnacentral:rRNA from 1 species
CGUAGGUGCGAGCGUUGUCCGGAAUUACUGGGCGUAAAGAGCUCGUAGGUGGUUGUCGCGUCGUCUGUGAAAUCCCGGGCUUAACUUCGGGCGUGCAGGCGAUACGGGCAUAACUUGAGUGCUGUAGGGAGACUGGAAUUCCUGGUGUAGCGGUGAAAUGCGCAGAUAUCAGGAGGAACACCAAUGGCGAAGGCAGGUCUCUGGGCAGUAACUGACGCUGAGGAGCGAAAGCAUGGGUAGCGAACAGGAUU